GGCUCAGAUUGAACGCUGGCGGCAGGCCUAACACAUGCAAGUCGAGCGGUAGAGAGAAGCUUGCUUCUCUUGAGAGCGGCGGACGGGUGAGUAAUGCCUAGGAAUCUGCCUGGUAGUGGGGGAUAACGUUCGGAAACGGACGCUAAUACCGCAUACGUCCUACGGGAGAAAGCAGGGGACCUUCGGGCCUUGCGCUAUCAGAUGAGCCUAGGUCGGAUUAGCUAGUUGGUGAGGUAAUGGCUCACCAAGGCGACGAUCCGUAACUGGUCUGAGAGGAUGAUCAGUCACACUGGAACUGAGACACGGUCCAGACUCCUACGGGAGGCAGCAGUGGGGAAUAUUGGACAAUGGGCGAAAGCCUGAUCCAGCCAUGCCGCGUGUGUGAAGAAGGUCUUCGGAUUGUAAAGCACUUUAAGUUGGGAGGAAGGGUUGUAGAUUAAUACUCUGCAAUUUUGACGUUACCGACAGAAUAAGCACCGGCUAACUCUGUGCCAGCAGCCGCGGUAAUACAGAGGGUGCAAGCGUUAAUCGGAAUUACUGGGCGUAAAGCGCGCGUAGGUGGUUUGUUAAGUUGGAUGUGAAAUCCCCGGGCUCAACCUGGGAACUGCAUUCAAAACUGACUGACUAGAGUAUGGUAGAGGGUGGUGGAAUUUCCUGUGUAGCGGUGAAAUGCGUAGAUAUAGGAAGGAACACCAGUGGCGAAGGCGACCACCUGGACUAAUACUGACUGUGCGAAAGCGUGGGGAGCAAAC
rnacentral:rRNA from 1 species